AACAUUCUUUUAUAACAUUGUACGCAUACAUUCAGAACUAGUUCAUUAAUUAAUCAAGUUUUUUAACAACGUUGUGCGACACAGGAUAAUCGUAAAGAAAUAUAUAUAUAUAUAUAUAUAUGUUUGUGUGUAGGUUCGAUGAAAACGAAGAUUUUAACCCAUAUCCUAUUAGUUUCUCCAUUCGAUAUGAAGCAGAAAUUUAGCAGCUUGUGUACAAUUUUCUUAAGAGUGCUUUAAAUUUUAUGUCUGAAAUUUAGCAGCUUCUGUACGAUUUGCUUAAGAGUGCUCUUAAUUUUAUGUCUGAAAUUUAGCAGCUUGUGUACAAUUUUGCUUAAGAGUGCUCUUAAUUCUAGGUCUGAAAUUUAGCAGCUUGUUUACAGUUUUGGUUAAGAGUGCUCUUAAUUAUAGGUCUGAAAUUUAGCAGCUUCUGUACAAUUCUGAUUAAGAGUGCUCUUAAUUAUAGGUCUGAAAUUUAGCAGCUUGUGUACAACUUUGCUUAAGAGUGCUCUUAAUUCUAGGUCUGAAAUUUAGCAGCUUCUGUACAAUUUGCUUAAGAGUGCUUUUGGUUCUAGGUCUGAAAUUUAGUAGCUUGGGUACAAUUUUGCUUAAGAGUGCUUUUGCGCCUAGGUCCGUGACCCCUCUGAAGAAGGAUAUUGAUGACAUUGUUGAACUCGACGACAAAUGUCCAGAUAUAAUUCCCGCAAAAAAUGUUAACAGAUCACCAGAUUCAGGUAGCAUGGAUGAAAAGGAUCAAAGAUGUAUACAACUGAAUAAAACCAUGGAAACAAGCUACAGUAUAAGAUCUCCAAACAGAAACUAUGUAGUUUCUAAGGAAUCUCUUUACGGUAGUCCCGCGUGUGCAGCCAGCCGUCUUGUAGACGUUUCUUGCCACAGGGGACUUUCAAUUACACUGCAAGCUGAUGACAUAACGUAUUCUGACCUGUCUCUUCUCAAAACUGGCAAUUGCCUUACCAAUGUAAAGCGGCACGAGCCGUCAACAGACCACUCCAAACUAUACUUCAAGAGGAAAGGCCCUGAACAUGACGAAGAAAGUGAAACUUCGCUUGUGAAUAACGGUCGAGAGAGUACAGUUUAAACUGAAAUAGUGGCAGAUAAUUAGUUGUGUGUGAG